rnacentral:misc_RNA from 1 species
GAGGCAGUGACUUCCAUAAUCCAUUUGACAUAUUUGAGCAGUUUUUCGGGGGUGGUGCCUUUGGGGGGAGUAGCUCAAGAGUACGCAGACAGAGACGUGGUGAAGAUGUGGCGCAUACUUUGAAGGUGUCUUUAGAAGAUGUGUAUAAUGGAUCUAUGAAGAAACUAUCAUUAUCACGAAAUAUUCUGUGCCCAAAGUGCAAAGGAAAAGGGACCAAAUCUGAGGCUCCAGCAACAUGCUAUGGUUGUCAUGGUGUAGGAAUGAGGAAUAUAAUGCGACAGAUAGGACUAGGCAUGAUUCAACAUAUGCAGACUGUCUGUCCUGAAUGCAGAGGAUCAGGUGAGAUCAUAAGUGACAGGGAUAAAUGCACAAACUGCAGAGCUAGCAAAGUUAUUCAGG